CACCACCCAAAACGCGUCCGUCUUCCAAACUCCCAACAUCUGGAAGCAGAUACGCACCAUGUUUCGCACCAUCAGCCAUCGUUGGGGGCGAUUGAAGCAGCUGCAAUCCACCAACAACUACAAUCACAACAAUCCUUCUCCUUCCUUCCUUUUCUCUCUCUCAACCACAGCUACAGCCAACAACAACAGCAGCAGUAAGUCGAGUGCUUUGCCUCCUCCGAUCCGAGUCUCACUCACCGACUCAGCAGGCAGAGGCACGUUCGCAACUCGGAGAAUCGGCGCAGGCGAUCUCAUCCACACUGCAAAGCCCUUAAUCUCCCAUCCUUCCAUCUCCCUCAUCCUCAAUGUCUGCUACUUCUGCUUGAAGAGAUUGGGGAUGGACUCUUCUGCCAUUUCCGCCCCUCUUGAGGGCAAUCGCCGUACUGAUUCAACCCCCACCGGACCCGCUUUGGAUGUCGAUCGUCGCGUCUAUUUCUGCAGUGAGGAAUGUCGAGAAAAUUCAAAGGUAUUUUAUGAAGUUGAGAAGAUGGUGGAUUGGUCAGCAUUUGAUGAUCAUUGCAGAUUACGAGGGUUGAAAUAUCCAUUUUUGGUAAAGCGGUUGGCUUGUAUGAUUAUAUCAGGAGCAGCAUCCGUAGACUUUCUCGACAUUCUUCAGCCAGCCAAUUUAUUCCCUGAGAUGAUUUUAGAGAUGGAAGAGGAGUUUCAUUUGCUCAGGUGCACUUUAUUGAAGGCAGGGUUUGAUGAACAGAUUGCAUUUCUAACAAAGCAAUGGUACAUUGGUGUGCUGGUGAGGAUUCGGAUCAAUGCAUUUCGUGUUGAAUUGAUUGGAGGCUCAUAUGAGGAUCUACUUUCAGCAGCAGCAGCCUCCAUUGUUGCUGAAUCUGCUGUUGGAAAUGCCGUUUAUAUGCUUCCAUCCUUUUACAAUCAUGACUGUGUGGCUAAGCUGAUUGCAAGUUGUGCACUCCAGAUCCAAAUGCACACAUAAUUUGGAUAGAGAACGUGGAUGCAAGAUUGAAGGCUCUCCGUGACAUUGAAGCAGAUGAGGAGCUUCGUAUAUGCUACAUUGAUGCGGGUAUGGACCAUGAUGCUCGACAAACCCUCCUCUCCAAAGGGUUUGGUUUCCAGUGCAGAUGUCCCCGGUGCAUGUCUGGUGAUUAAGGAAAUAAAAGGACUCCAUUUUUCAUUUCUGUAUUGGUUUUUCAUCCUUCUUUUUUUCACGGACAUGUAUUGUAAUAUUUUCUCAGAAUAAAGGUAAGAGGUCCGUGAGUACCAGGUGUUUUGAGUUA